rnacentral:lncRNA from 1 species
UUCCGAUUCAGUAUUUUUCGGUCGGGCCCUAGGAAUCUGUGCUUUUAACACGACCCCCAACGCCCUCCUGAGCAAUAGGAGGAGCCCGGGCAAUUUGGGCAACAGUAGACUAGUCAAAUUUGUAUUAUGCCAAAAAGAGAAAGGUACUUUCUCUCCCUUCAGAUUUUAUUCUUUUUUUUUAAGAUUUUAUUUAUUAAUCAUGAAAGACACACAGAGAGAGGCAGAGACACAGGCAAAGGGAGAAGCAGGCUCCAUGCCGGGAGCCCGAGGAGGGACUCGAUCCCGAGACCCUAGGAUCACGCCCUGGGCCGGAGGCAGACGCUCAACCGCUGAGGCACCCAGGCGUCCCUCUCCUUUCAUAUUUUUUUAAAAAAAUUUUUUUAAAGAUUUAUUCAUGAGAGACACAGGCAGAGGAAGAAGCAGGCUCCAUGCAGGGAGCCCGACGUGGGACUUAAUCUGGGGUCUCCAGGAUCACGCCCUGGGCAGACGGCGGCGCUAAACCGCUGCGCCACCCCGGGGUCCCCUCCCUUCAGGUUUUUAUAGCAGUGCACACUUCUUUUAGGAAAUUGGAAAAUGACAACAUUGUGACAAGAAGACAAAAGUUUCCGUGAAUUCUUUUCCUGCGUGUGUGGGUUUCCUCCCAGAUGAUAGACACUGCCAAUAAUAGUGGUGAUAAUAAUAAAUUAAUAUCAAGUAAAUGGGAUAUGUCAGGCACCAUGCUAAACACUUUACACUUGGCAAGAAACUGAAAAGCAGGUAAUGUCACUGCUGUUUUACAGAUGCAGAAAUGGAGACCAUAUAUCGCCUGAUCACAUAGCUAGAGGCUGAAGAGGAGGCUUUGAACCCAGGUUUUCUGAAUCCAAAUUUUGCAGCGUUUAACCCAAGCUAUGUUACUCCUGAGAUCUUGUGGGCAUCACACAUCAGGAGAGCUCUACAGUCAUCCUUCAAAGUUUGAAAGAACUCCUGGGUCUCCGUUACCAGUGCACACCACUCUCCCAAAGCCACCCUUUCUCCAGGACUCUGCACUCUGCACAGUCCGACUGGCGGGGUCGCCAAAGGAUCACAAGGUCAGUGACCUGCGGGAACGAAGGGAUCUCGGCAUCGUUGAUGGACACCAAAGUUCUGCUCUGGGGUUCUGGUGGAACCAGGAAAGCCUUUCUUUCAGUGUGCAUCCUGGCAGCAGGAAAAAUGAAACCCCAUUUUCAACACUGCCCUUUCCCAGUCAGUUUGUGAGGUGGUACUAA